rnacentral:rRNA from 1 species
GACGAACGCUGGCGGCGUGCUUAACACAUGCAAGUCGAGCGGUAAGGCCCUUUCGGGGGUACACGAGCGGCGAACGGGUGAGUAACACGUGGGUGACCUGCCCUCAGCUCUGGGAUAAGCCUGGGAAACCGGGUCUAAUACCGGAUAUGACUCCAUGACGCAUGUUGUGGGGUGGAAAGCCUUGUGCGGCUGAGGAUGGGCCCGCGGCCUAUCAGCUUGUUGGUGGGGUGAUGGCCUACCAAGGCGACGACGGGUAGCCGGCCUGAGAGGGCGACCGGCCACACUGGGACUGAGACACGGCCCGGACUCCUACGGGAGGCAGCAGUGGGGAAUCUUGCGCAAUGGGCGAAAGCCUGACGCAGCGACGCCGCGUGAGGGAUGACGGCCU